CGAGAGAACGCUGGCGGCGUGGAUUAGGCAUGCAAGUCGGACGGUAGGGCUUUAUCGUAAGAUAGAGUUUGAGAGUGGCGAACGGGUGAGUAACACGUAGGAAUCUACCCUUAAGACGGGGACAACCCAGGGAAACUUGGGCUAAUACCGGAUGAGAGUGCGAGAGAUUGCAUUUAAAAGGAUGGCGAAAGUUGUCGCUUAGGGAUGAGCCUGCGGUCUAUUAGUUAGUUGGUGAGGUAAGAGCUCACCAAGGCGAUGAUAGAUAGGCGGCCCUAACGGGUGGUCGCCCACACUGGGAUUGAGAUACGGACCAGACUCCUACGGGAGGCAGCAGUGAGGAAUCUUGGUCAAUGGACGGAAGUCUGAACCAGCCAUGUCGCGUGAAGGAGGACGGCCCUAAGGGUUGUAAACUUCUUUGACGAGGGAAGAAAGAAAUGACGGUACCUCGAAAACAAGCCACGGCUAACUACGUG
rnacentral:rRNA from 1 species